AACGAACGCUGGCGGCAUGCCUAACACAUGCAAGUCGAGCGAGACCUUCGGGUCUAGUGGCGCACGGGUGCGUAACGCGUGGGAACCUGCCCUUAGGUUCGGAAUAACUCCCCGAAAGGGGUGCUAAUACCGGAUAAUGUCUUCGGACCAAAGAUUUAUCGCCUUUGGAUGGGCCCGCGUUGGAUUAGCUAGUUGGUAGGGUAAAAGCCUACCAAGGCGACGAUCCAUAGCUGGUCUGAGAGGAUGAUCAGCCACACUGGGACUGAGACACGGCCCAGACUCCUACGGGAGGCAGAAGGGGGGAAAUUUGGACAAGGGGCGAAAGCCUGAUCCAGCAAGGCCGGGGGAGUGAUGAAGGCUUUAGGGUGGAAAAGCUCUUUUACCCGGGAUGAUAAUGACAGUACCGGGAGAAUAAGCCCCGGCUAACUCCGG
rnacentral:rRNA from 1 species